GUCCCAACUCUUCAGGAACUCACUGUUCAUUGGCAAAAGAAGCAAGUGAAUAGAGAAGAUAUCAUAGUUUCUAUGAUAUGAGCUUGUUCCGAUAUAACAAAGCCAUGGAGGAGGAAUUCCAGCAAAAGCUUUAUAAAAGUUUGUGCCAUGAACUGACAGUGAGGUCAUUAAAAUGGAGUUUGCAAUUUAACUCACUAGUUUUUGGCAAAUAAAAUAUCCUUCAUACUUUAUUAACUAAUAAUAUCAUCCCAAAUUGCCUUUUAUUAUGAAUAAUAACUUUGAAUUGUUUUCUAUUAACAGGACAUCUGUGCCCUAAGUGGAAUGGUAGAGACCAUUAAAAAAUUGUCUUGAAAACAUACAGCUGAUAUUUUAGCACCGUGCAUUGUAAGUACGGGUCAAUCUUGGGGUCAACAGGAAUUUAUUUUUAGAAUGUAAAAAUCACCCUUAUUAUAAAGGGGUCUUAGAAAACAUCCAGCCCUAGGGCCUGUAGCAUGGCUCCCAAGGAUACGAUUGAAAUAAGAUUCUGGUUUAGUCGUUUUAAGAAACAAUAUUUUAUUCAGGGAAACUUGAUGGUCAUGUUCUUUAUUUUUAUUUUUUUCAUAAAAAUGCCAGCUGGACAUGUUCACUGAAGCUCUGGGUAAAGAAGUUGGAAGGAAAGCCAUGAAUUGAGAGAAAGUGGGAGCUACAGUGAAGAGAGAGAGCAUGACCUAAGUAGGAAGGGAAGGGAGAGAGGAAAAAGAAAGAAACCACGGAAGGAUGGAAAGGGAGAAACCUCAUCUGGGCCAAUUGGGGUCUGGCUUCUUCAGGGGAGCUACUUAACCAUAGAGCACGUGACGAAAAACGAUUGAAAGAUCAGGUUCAAUCACAUGGGCUGAAGUCCAUCUCACCUCCAGUUCUGUCUUGCUCUGCUUUUGAGGAUUGUUAAUGGUCAGCCUGAUGAAGGGCAGCGGGUAGAACCAGAGCGCUGAAUGCUUCUGAGCUGCAUGCUGGCUCCUGAGCAUUGACAACAUUCUCCUGCCCAUGCAGCAUCAGCCCCAGAAAGAGCUGAGAGAGCUGCCCUGAGGAUUCAUUCUGUGUGUGUUGGAGGAGUGGGGGUGGGGGUGGAGGUGAUUACAGGGAACAACAGAGAAAAAGAGAAGUAUAGUUUAUAAUUUCCCCUUACAUUGAAUGGCUUUGUAGCUGCUGAAUUGUGCUACCUGUUUUCAUACUGAGAUUUAUCUAAAUGUAUUUUAAUGGCAUAGGUACUAGUAAAAAAUUUUAGUCAAAUAAUGUGUCUACAUAAAAAGUCUGUAAAAAGCCUUGCCUUGCAAAAUAAACUGUUAAUUGCAUUUAAAGAUAAUAAGGGUUAAAAAAAUAAGGGGCAUGUUUACAGGGAUAAAUGUUCAUUGUGAACAAGAAAAUGUGGUUUCAACUAAAGUAAGGUAAUUAACAACAACACAAAAACGCCAAAGGAUUUGGAGAACCGAAACAAAAACAAAACGCCUCAGAAGGGUGAUGCACCUUCCGACUCUCCCUUCCUCGUGCUCAGCCCCCACGUCAAUCACCUCCUCUCAGCGGUCACUAACCUGGCUAUUUGUCUGUUUCCACACUACUGCAUCACAAAACAUCAUGCCCACUUGCCUGGAAAAGAUAAUAUCUCACACAUAUGGGGCCUGCCUUUGAUCUCUGUGGUCGAGCUGGAGGUCAGAGGCCUGCCUUCUUCAGGCCCUUACUUCAAAUGAUUCCUUUCAUUUACUGAGAAACCAAACGUUAGAAGGGCAAAGGCAGAAAAAAUAAAGCCGUGAUUUAAUAGCAAUUUAUGUGUUUGGCCUAUUUCGGGUUGGGUUUUAUUCUC
rnacentral:lncRNA from 10 species